rnacentral:rRNA from 1 species
UACGGGGGGAGCAAGCGUUAUCCGGAUUCACUGGGUUUAAAGGGUGCGUAGGUGGCGCCGUAAGUCGGGUGUGAAAUUUCGGAGCUUAACUCCGAAACUGCAUUCGAUACUGCGGUGCUUGAGGACUGGAGAGGAGACUGGAAUUCAUGGUGUAGCAGUGAAAUGCGUAGAGAUCAUGAGGAAGACCAGUGGCGAAGGCGGGUCUCUGGACAGUUCCUGACACUGAGGCACGAAGGCCAGGGAGCAAACGGG